UUUAAAGUCUUAAACUAAAUUAACAUAAACUAGUAACAAAAAGAAGCAUACUCUAAAAUAAUGUUUGAAUUGAAAAUUUAUUUUUGAGUAUUAAAUUUAAAAUUAUUAAAAUUCCCCUAAGAGCAGAACAUAUGUGCUAGAGCCAAACUGCCGAUAUGUGCCAAACUGCUCACCAUUUGAAAGAACGGUCGUUCAUUUUUUAAGUGAAGGAACGGAUCCGUUAAUUGUAAGGAUUCAUUGUUUUUGACUCAUUCAUUCAAGAACAACACAUCCCUAAAAUGUGCACCUACCUUGACUAUGCGGCAUGCAAAAAGAGAUGCUUUUAGAACCUUAGUUUCUACUUAUCUUGUUCCAUGGUUGCCACUCAGAAACGCAUCACAACCCAAAAUUAUGACGUCAUCAAGCUUACCAGACCUGAACAUUUAUCACAAUGCAAAUUUUGUUUUUAAUUUUCAAUGUUGUGUUAAAAGUUCAGAAAUUCUCAAGGAGGGAAUAUACAGCAUCUGAGAAUUUAGUACUUUGAUAGGACAUAGAGGACAACAUAUUUUUGUGACAUGCCUGCAACUUUUGGAUAUGUUGCUGGUGUUGGUCCAGGAUGGUUGGUGUUUCAAUUGAGGUGGAGGAAUUUCACUUCAAGCUAAAACAUCUUAACACUUUCUCUUGGCACAGUAUAGCCUAGAAAGGCUCUUGUGCCAUUAAACCCUAGUAGAACCAACCAAGCUAAUGCCAGGCCCCUUGCAUCCGAGGAUGAUGCAUUGCAGUUUUUUACAUGACCACCUGAUUCUUGUGUCAUCAAUAAACAUGCAGUUGGUUUACAAAUGGGUUUACCAGUGCAACAAGAAGGUGCUGGUGGAUAUGCAGUGGAAAAGAUGAUCUACCCCUUCUGUUAACUGUGGAAAUUUGGGCAGUGGAGCUCGCUGAAAACAUCGUCCAAAACAUUCUGGAUAUUUGUUGCAAAAAUGAUGAGUAAGAAGCAAAGCUUACAGGCUGAACGAAGAAAUAUUAAAAAGUGGUAUAGCGUUUCAAAAGAUGUAAACAGCUUUAGGAAGACAAGAAUUGUUUACUGGUCGUGCAAAGAUAGUUUUUGGUUCAUGAAAAUGUAAUUUAUGUGUAGAGAUGUAUAAACCUCAUGAUUAUAAAAUUUUUUUUAUGAUUCAUCAAACUUUUCACAUUAGAGUGAAUGAAAGGCCCUGUAUCUAACGUUGUACUAAAAUGUUUUGUUGUGUGUAAUA